UACCAGCACCCCGAGUGGUCGGGACGUUUAUUGGGCCUAAAGCAUCCGUAGCCGGUUCUACAAGUCUUCCGUUAAAUCCGCCUGCUUAACAGAUGGGCUGCGGAAGAUACUAUGGAGCUAGGAGGCGGGAGAGGCAAGCGGUACUCGAUGGGUAGGGGUAAAAUCCGUUGAUCCAUUGAAGACCACCAGUGGCGAAGGCGGCUUGCCAGAACGCGCUCGACGGUGAGGGAUGAAAGCUGGGGGAGCAAACCGG
rnacentral:rRNA from 1 species